CAGAUCAUGUAUCUGCUCAAAUGUUUUUUAAAUUGCUGUGGUAUUAUGACUAUACGAAGGUAUUGAAAUAAGGUUUUUAUUGAGUGCUAAGAGAAUGGUUAAACAAGGAUUAGCUUUCUUUUAAUUUAAAAUGGAAUUUAAUUUAAAAGUGAAAAAGCUUUUAUUAGUGUUUGGGACAAGAAGACCCUAUGAAUUUUUUUUUACAAGUUUAUUUAAAAUUUUAAAAAGUAAAUAAAAUAUUGUUGUAAGUUAAUUGGGGUGAUUUUUAAAAUUAAAUAACUUUAAAAAUUGGAGGAAUUAGAACCACAAGUUGUGGUUAAUUGAGUAAAAUACUCUAGGGAUAACAGCGUUAUUAUUUUGGAUAGUUCAUAUAGAUAAAAUAGUUUGCGACCUCGAUGUUGGAUUAAGAUACUUGUAUAAUGCAGCAGUUAUAUGAGGGAGUUUGCUCAACUUUUAAAUUCUUACAUGAUCUGAUU
rnacentral:rRNA from 1 species